GGAAGAGCAUGAAUACUGAGACCCGAAAGAUAGUGAACUAUGUCUGGGUAGGAUGAAGCCAGAGGAAACUCUGGUGGAAGUCCGAAGGCGUUCUGACGUGCAAAUCGAUGCUCAAACCUGGAUAUAGGGGCGAAAGACCAAUCGAACUAUCUAGUAGCUGGUUCCCUCCGAAAUUUCCCUCAGGAUAGCUGGAGCAUUUACAGUCUUAUCAGGUAAAGCGAAUGAUUAGAGGAUUCGGGAAAU
rnacentral:rRNA from 1 species